rnacentral:rRNA from 1 species
AAAUUGAAGAGUUUGAUCAUGGCUCAGAUUGAACGCUGGCGGCAGGCCUAACACAUGCAAGUCGAACGGUAACAGGAAACAGCUUGCUGCUUUGCUGACGAGUGGCGGACGG